AGCACGGUGGCCGAGUGGUUAAGGCGUUGGACUUAAGAUCCAAUGGAUGUAUGUCCGCGUGGGUCUCGAACCCCACCCGUGCUA
rnacentral:tRNA from 1 species